CUCCCACACUUACUUAGCACCU
rnacentral:miRNA from 1 species